rnacentral:rRNA from 1 species
UACGUAUGGUGCAAGCGUUAUCCGGAUUUACUGGGCGUAAAGGGAGCGCAGGCGGCGCGCCAAGUCUGAUGUGAAACCCCGGGGCUCAACCCCGGGCAUGCAUUGGAAACUGGCGGGCUGGAGUGCCGGAGAGGUAAGCGGAAUUCCUAGUGUAGCGGUGGAAUGCGUAGAUAUUAGGAGGAACAUCAGUGGCGAAGGCGACUUUCUGGACUGUAACUGACGCUGAGGCACGAAAGUGUGGGGAGCAAACAGG